AUGGAAGAAGCGUGGCCAGCCCUCGGCCUGGCGGCCGGCGACGCGGCCUUCUGGCCCCCGCCUCCCCCCGGCACCAUCGCCCCGACCCCCGUGGCGUGGGGCGCGGCCGCGAUGGCGCAGCGGGAGACGGUGGCCAAGGAGUCAUCCGCGCAGGCGGUAAGCCGGAUCGUGUCCAGCUGCGCCAACUCGAGCGGCCUGGCCGUGGCCGUCGUCAACGCCAACGCCUCCACCGUGGGCCGGCUGGUCACUAUGCCCGAGGUCCUCGAGGAGGUGUGCAACGCCGCAGCGCACCGGAGGCUCGCGCUCCUGCCCACCCCCGUCGAGCCCGCCCCUGAGUUCCUCAAGCUACAGUCAGAAUGCCCUGCAAGUUUAGCUCCAGAAUGCUCCAAAUCAUUUGAUCAAGUUUAG
rnacentral:rRNA from 1 species